GAACCGGCCCCUUGGCUUCUGGAUCUACGAUAAUCUGGUUGAGGACACUACUAUUGGGUAAAUCAAGGAGCAGUGUGACAAUUAUUUUACAUAAAAAGCUAGACAAUCGCUGUAUGAGGAUGCUCUGGAGAUCGAAGUGUCAUUUAAAGAUGCGCCGCCAAUCCACAAGGAGGAUAUUCCUGAACACAUCGAAAAGGCGGUCAAUAGGGGACUAGCGCUAAGAGAUCACGUGAUUGUUUGGAUGGAGGUGUUUAGCGGCAAGAUAACAGCAACCAAAAGCAACUUAUUCAUCGCUUACAAAAAAAAGCCAGAAUUUUUUCAGAAAUGGUUUAGUUUCAUUUAUAGAUGCGACUUUUCCGUCGUUCUGGCGUGACGGGGACAUUAAGGCCAUUAAAUGUUAAACAGCGCAAAAAGGCAUGAGGCAAUCAAAUUUGACUGGCUUUAGUUGUCAAUGUGUAGAUACAAUGUGUAGAUAGCAGAUUACAAU